rnacentral:rRNA from 1 species
UGGGGAAUCUUGCGCAAUGGACGAAAGUCUGACGCAGCGACGCCGCGUGGGUGAUGAAGGCCUUCGGGUUGUAAAGCCCUGUGGGGAGGGACGAAUAAGUGGUGGCUAAUAUCCACCAUGAUGACGGUACCUCCUUAGCAAGCACCGGCUAACUCUGUGCCAGCAGCCGCGGUAAGACAGAGGGUGCAAACGUUGUUCGGAAUUACUGGGCGUAAAGCGCGUGUAGGUGGCAAGGUAAGUCGGGUGUGAAAGCCCUGGGCUCAACCCAGGAAGUGCACUCGAUACUACCUCGCUAGAGUCCCGGAGAGGUUGGUGGAACUCUCGGUGUAGAGGUGAAAUUCGUAGAUAUCGAGAAGAACACCGGUGGCGAAGGCGGCCAACUGGACGGUGACUGACACUGAGACGCGAAAGCGUGGGGAGCAAACAGGAUUAGAUACCCAGGUAGUCCCUGAGCGGGCUGGCAAGGCGCAU